UACCAGAGGAGUGGGAGACCCAUCCAAUUGGCGGGUGGGUUGAGGGGAGGAUGGCAUCAAGGAUAUCUUCCUGGAGGAGGGGCUGAUUAUUCCCAUUCUGAUUACUGGUAGAGCCUGGAUGGAACUGGAGGGAAGGAUGGUUUCCAGGACUGGUCCCCUGCCCCACUCCUCACCUCCAACAAGGCCCCUGCAGCAUCCUCCACCCAGGCCCUGUCUGCAUCCUCUCCUUCCCUCUGGUCCCAGGAAUACCGAGUCAUGAGGAAGAUCCUGCUGCUCCAGGAGGCUGCCAAGAAUUACAACCUAGAACCCGAGGGAGCGAUUUGCGGCCUGGUUCCAAGACAUGGAGUUGCUCAACGAGAAUGAGAGCUACAACCUGUCCUGCCAGCCAGAUCCCUAGACCUAGUUGGCCUGCAAAAUACGCAAGGCCAAGAAGAACCGGCCAUCAUCAAGGUCUGGGGUCAAAGACCAAGGGAAGAGGUCGUCAAGAGGUCAAGUCUAAUCUACCUAUGGAUGUGGCAGGCUUAACUAUGGAUGUUCAAACCAGACAUUGCCAGCAGAACCACAUCUCUUCACCCAUAGGUUGCCAUGAUCCUCCCUCUGGCUCCCGUGGUCAAGGUCGCUGCAGAGAUCCUUCCCUUGGACCUUGCCCACCUGAAGGGCCCAUACCCAUCAUAAAAACUCAAAGCCAUGACACUUGCCAAAUUGAGCCAAAAAUGGAAAGAUCCAG